rnacentral:rRNA from 1 species
GAUGAACGCUGGCGGCGUGCUUAACACAUGCAAGUCGAACGGAAAGGCCCAAGCUUGCUUGGGUACUCGAGUGGCGAACGGGUGAGUAACACGUGGGUGAUCUGCCCUGCACUUCGGGAUAAGCCUGGGAAACUGGGUCUAAUACCGGAUAGGACCACUUCUUGGAUGUUGUGGUGGAAAGUUUUUUCGGUGUGGGAUGAGCUCGCGGCCUAUCAGCUUGUUGGUGGGGUAAUGGCCUACCAAGGCGUCGACGGGUAGCCGGCCUGAGAGGGUGUACGGCCACAUUGGGACUGAGAGACGGCCCAGACGCCUACGGGAGGCAGCAGUGGGGAAUAUUGAACAAUGGGCGCAAGCCGGAUGCAGCGACGCCGCGGGGGGGAUGACGGACUUCGGGUUGUAAACUCCUUUCGCUAGGGACGAAGCGUUUUGUGACGGUACCUGGAGAAGAAGCACCGGCUAACUACGUG